rnacentral:rRNA from 1 species
CCUACGGGAGGCAGCAGUGGGGAAUUUUGGACAAUGGGCGCAAGCCUGAUCCAGCCAUGCCGCGUGAGUGAAGAAGGCCUUCGGGUUGUAAAGCUCUUUCGGCGGGGAAGAAAUUGCUUGGGUUAAUACCCGGUGUAGAUGACGGUACCCGCAUAAGAAGCACCGGCUAACUACGUGCCAGCAGCCGCGGUAAUACGUAGGGUGCGAGCGUUAAUCGGAAUUACUGGGCGUAAAGCGUGCGCAGGCGGUUUUGUAAGUCAGAUGUGAAAUCCCCGGGCUCAACCUGGGAACUGCAUUUGUGACUGCAAGGCUAGAGUUUGGCAGAGGGGGGUGGAAUUCCACGUGUAGCAGUGAAAUGCGUAGAGAUGUGGAGGAACACCAAUGGCGAAGGCAGCCCCCUGGGUCAAUACUGACGCUCAUGCACGAAAGCGUGGGGAGCAAACAGGAUUAGAUACCCUGGUAGUCCACGCCCUAAACGAUGUCAACUAGGUGUUGGGAGGGUUAAACCUUUUAGUACCGUAGCUAACGCGUGAAGUGACCGCCUGG